UAAGCAUAUCAAUAAGCGGAGGAAAAGAAACCAACAGGGAUUGCCCUAGUAACGGCGAGUGAAGCGGCAACAGCUCAAAUUUGAAAUCUGGCCUCGGCCCGAGUUGUAAUUUGCAGAGGAUGCUUCUGGCGCGGUGCCUUCCGAGUUCCCUGGAACGGGACGCCACAGAGGGUGAGAGCCCCGUAUGGUCGGACACCAAGCCUGUGUGAAGCUCCUUCGACGAGUCGAGUAGUUUGGGAAUGCUGCUCUAAAUGGGAGGUAAAUCUCUUCUAAAGCUAAAUACCGGCCAGAGACCGAUAGCGCACAAGUAGAGUGAUCGAAAGAUGAAAAGCACCUUGAAAAGGGGGUUAAAUAGUACGUGAAAUUGUUGAAAGGGAAGCACUUGUGACCAGACUUGGGCCGGGCGGCUCAUCAGGGGUUCUCCCCUGUGCACUCCGCCCGGCACAGGCCAGCAUCGGUUCUCGCGGGGGGAUAAGACCGCCGGGAACGUAGCACCCUCCGGGGUGUGUUAUAGCCCGGCGGACGAUACCCCCGUGGGGACCGAGGUCCGCGCUCUGCAAGGAUGCUGGCGUAAUGGUCACCAGUGACCCGUCUUGAAACACGGACCAAGGAGUCGUCCAUUAGAGCGAGCGUUUGGGUGUAAAACCCGCACGCGUAAUGAAAGUGAACGCAGGUGAGAGCUUCGGCGCAUCAUCGACCGAUCCUGAUGUUCUCGGAAGGAUUUGAGUAAGAGUUUUAACGGACGGACCCGAAAGACAGUGAACUAUGCUUGUAUAGGGUGAAGCCAGAGGAAACUCUGGUGGAGGCUCGCAGCGGUUCUGACGUGCAAAUCGAUCGUCAAAUAUGAGCAUGGGGGCGAAAGACUAAUCGAACUGUCUAGUAGCUGGUUACCGCCGAGUUUUCUCC
rnacentral:rRNA from 1 species